rnacentral:rRNA from 1 species
UGGGGAAUAUUGGACAAUGGGCGAAAGCCUGAUCCAGCCAUGCCGCGUGUGUGAAGAAGGUCUUCGGAUUGUAAAGCACUUUAAGUUGGGAGGAAGGGCAGUAACCUAAUACGUUGCUGUCUUGACGUUACCGACAGAAUAAGCACCGGCUAACUCUGUGCCAGCAGCCGCGGUAAUACAGAGGGUGCAAGCGUUAAUCGGAAUUACUGGGCGUAAAGCGCGCGUAGGUGGUUUGUUAAGUUGGAUGCGAAAUCCCCGGGCUCAACCUGGGAACUGCAUUCAAAACUGACAAGCUAGAGUAUGGUAGAGGGUGGUGGAAUUUCCUGUGUAGCGGUGAAAUGCGUAGAUAUAGGAAGGAACACCAGUGGCGAAGGCGACCACCUGGACUGAUACUGACACUGAGGUGCGAAAGCGUGGGGAGCAAACAGGAUUAGAUACCCCCGUAGUCCCUG